rnacentral:lncRNA from 1 species
UUUAAAAAAACUGGUCUGUGUUUCUACAACUAAAGGAGGUGUUUCGGUUACGGUCACAUAUCAUCAUCUGGUGGUAUUCCUAACCUAUAUGUUUCCUUUCUUGUAAUACUUAGAAUGGUUCGAAUUUAGUUUCACUUAUGGGGAUUCUCCAGAGGCGGAUUUAGACCCCCCCCCUUUUUUCUGGGAGAAAUUUUAUUGAUUAUAUAGGGAAUCACUGAAGCCUGACUGGAGCAGGCCCCUCUAAGGAAGCCUUUGUGUACUCAAAUAACUAUAUUGAAAUCAAUCAGGUUCAGGACCAAUCCA